GCACUGGUGGCUCAGGGGUAGAAUUCUCGCCUUCCAUGUGGGAGACCUGGGUUUGAUUUCUGGCCAAUGCA
rnacentral:tRNA from 1 species